CACCAACAAUAUUCUAUAUACGAAAUUUUUUUUUCUAAUUUGCCUCUUAUCUCUAAUUCGGAUCGUAUUUGAAUUAGGCAAGAGAUAAUAUUAUGACUCAUCAGCUAUAGCCACCCAUCCUUAUUAGAUCCUCUAUCAUGAUGCCAAAAAUCACAACCCAAAUCCAAUUAGGCAUAGAGAAAUUGGCAUAGAUCCAGGUGUGGUGCAAAAGAUAAGGAUAGAGUCCUAGUUGAUAAGAACUCUUCGUUUUCAAUUCUAAUUCUAAUUCAAAUUAAAUUAGAUUGAACCCACUGAUAGAAAUGAACCUAAUUCAAUUAGAAACUUAAAUAUCUCAUCAAUUUUUUAACCUAAUUAAAAAUUAGUCGAGUCAAAUUCUGAUCAAAUUAGGAUCAAAUUUUUCUUAUAGUCAGACUCGAUCAUAUCAAACUCAAUCAGAGUCGAACUGAGUCUAAUUCAAUUAAACUUGUUUCAAAGCUCUUUGUUCAAUCAAAUUGAGUUAAUUAGUAAUCUAAUUACUAAUUAAUUUUUUACAAAUAGUAGAGUCUCAGUCUCAGUGGGACUCUCCCUCAGAGUUCUAGUUGGAGUAGAAUUCUUCACCAGAGUCACAAUCUAAUUGGACUCUUCAGCCAUAUGAUCUAACCAAAUCUUCUAAUGCGUGUGACCCUAUAGGGUCGAACCUAAGUCAGUAGUAUAGGAACAACUUCUUAUACCAAUCGAUGUAACCAUUUGCAAUGAUGAUCUGACGAUCGAAUAGGUUAAAGUAUUGCAAAGCAACCUUCUAGAAUCUACUGACUUAUGGUUACCGUAUAAUUUAUCUCAUUGACCUAAAUGUUCAAGAUAACCUAGGGUUUAACUAUCAAAUCUAAUUUAGUUGAUCAUAUUGUAUUUUAAUCUUUCAAAUUCAUCUCAUGGAUUAUCCUGAUCAAGAUUUUACUAAAUUGAAAUACACUGAUACAUAUCUCCUACUAAUUCAAAGGAGACAAUUUCAUCUUGAUUUAUACACCGACUUGAUAAGUAUUUGACUGCACUCAGUAGCCUUCGGAUAUUGAGUUAGAAAUUCAAAUGAUCUGAUACUAAAGUACAGUGAAUUGCUUAUAAGUUACCAUGGUGGUCUCAGAUCGGAGAGACAUUUAUAUCCAUACCCUUCACGAGCUACUCUUAACGGCAGAGUGCUCGACAUAUGGUCACAUUCGAUGUAAAUAUACUCCUACAUUUUAUCUGCAUGCUAUAAUAGUAUCUCCACACUCCUUGAUUAAAAGGAGAACUAACUCAUAUGGUACAUAAUAACCUACACUUGAUAUCAUUAUCGUCCUAAUAAUAGCGUAUUGUUUGAUCGCAAAUAUUUUUAAGAACUUAACGACAAAUCUUCUUUUGUCGAUUAGUUAUAGUCUUAAGGGUUUCAUUACAACACAAGAGUUCAAAGAUGGAUAAUUUAUAAUAAAAAUAUUAAAUAGUUUUUAUUAAUAAAAAUUUAUAUUCAAUUUAUAAGAUGAGCACAAUCAUCUAAUGAUUGAUUUUGGGAUAUAUUUUUCAACAACUCUCAUUUGGACUAAAAUCAAUCGGUGCAGUAUCGAAUACCCAUCUUCAACUUGUGAUCAUCGAACUUUUUGAUUUUGAGAACUUUAGUAAAUGAAUCAACUAGGUUCUCCUUUCCAUCAAUCUUCUGAAGGUCAACAUCACCUCGAUCCACGAUCUCUAAGAUAAGGUGAUAGCAGCACAGAAUAUGUUUGGUGCGCUGAUAUGAUCUCGGCUCCUUGGCUUGAGCAAUGACUUCAGUAUUGUCUUAGUAUAACAAGACAGGGUCAUCAAUAGAGUGUGCUACUUUAAGCUCGUCAAUGAACUUUCGCAACCAUAUAGCUUCCUUCAUAGCAACAGAUGUCGCGAUAUACUUCGCUUCGCAAAUAGGGUCUACCACAGUGUGCUACUUAAAUUUUUUUUAGUAGAUCACUCCAUCAUUUAAGAUAAAAAUAUAAUCCGACAUACUCUUAUUAUUGUCAUGGUCUGACUGAAAGCUAGAGUCAGUAAACCCCACCAGUUUUAAGUCAGUUUCACCAUACAUAAGUCACUGAUCCUUAGUAUUUCUCAAAUACUUAAGAAUGAUCUUUACGACCUUUCAGUGGUUCUUUUCUAGAUCAGACUGGUAUCUACUCACUACUUCUAGUGAGUAUGUUAUGUCUGAUCUCAUACAUAUCAUGGUGUAUAUAAUAGAAUCAACUAACGAAGCAUAUGGAACUCUAUUUAUAUGCUCUCUCUCUUGAGGAGUUAUCGAAUAAUCUCCUUUCGAAAGAGAAAUUUUUUGACCUAUCAGAAGAUAACCUUUCUUGAAAAUUUUCAUGUUGAAUCAUUUCAGCAUGGUAUCUAUGUACGUGGAUUGUGAGAGUCCAAGCAGUCUCUUAGAUCUAUCCCUAUAGAUUUUUAUCCCCAGGAUGUAAGCUGCUUCUCCCAUAUCCUUCAUGAAGAAUUAUGAUGACAGCCACACUUUUAUUCCUUGUAAUGCAAGGAUAUCAUUUUCUAUUAAGAGAAUGCCAUCCACAUACAAUACAAGAAAUAUAAUUAUUGAAUCAUUUGCCCACUUAUAUAUGCAGGAUUUCUCUCUGUUCCUAACGAAACCAUACGUUAUGAUCACCUUAUCAAAAUGUAUGUUCUAACUCUGAGAUGUUUGCUUUAAUCAAUAAAUAGAUCUCUGAAGCUUGCAUACCUUGGACUCAUCUGUAGAUAUGAAUCUUUCAAAUUGUAUCAUAUACACAUCUUCGUUCAACUCUCUAUUUAAAAAAAUUAUCUUUAUAUCCAUCUGCCAGAUUUCAUAGUCCCAAUAUGCUCCUAUUGCAAACAUGAUCCGAAUGGAUUUAAACAUUGCUAUAGGAGAAAAUAUCUCAUCAUAGUCAAUAUCAUAAUGCUGACGAUAACUCUUGACAACCAAAUGGGCUUUAUAGGUCUCCACCUUUCUGUCUGUGCCUCUCUUCCUCUUGAAGACCCACUUAUAUCCUAUGGGUUUAACUCCUUUAGGUGGGUCAACCAAUAUCCAUACAUCGUUGACCUUCAUGGAUUCUAUUUUAAAUUUUAUAGCUUCAAGCCAUUAGUUAGAGUCAGACCUCUGCAUCGCAUCUGUGUAGGUGAUUGGAUCCUCAUUAUUCUCAUCGAGUUCAACAAGAUCUCCAUUUCGGGUCAAAAAAUCUAAGUAUCUGUCCGACUGAUGUGGUACUCUACCAGAUCAUCUUAAAAAUAUUUGUGUGUUAGGCUUUGGAUUUAAUCUUAUCAAAUCCGGUUUAGAUUCAAUCUUUGGUUGUCGGUACUUCUAGCUGUCAAACUUCAUCAAGUUCAAUUUUAGAGGCACUUAUUCCUUCACUAAAGAAUUUUUUUUUAAAGUGUGCCUUACCGCUGAUAAACACCUUUUGUUCAACGGACAAGUAAAAAUAAUAUAUUCUUAUUUUUUUGGGAUACCUUAUAAAAUUAUACUUAUCGAACCUAGGGCUGAGCUUGUCAAUUUGUAAUCGUUUAACAUAAGCUGGACAUCUCCAGACCCUAAAGUAAGAGAGGUUUGGCAUACGUUCUGACCAUAUCUCAUAUGGUAUCUUACUAACCGACUUGCUCAGAAUAUUAUUAAGCAUAAGACGAGCUGUUUCAAGUGCAUAUCUCCAAAUUAAAGAAGAUCGACAGAGUUGCAAACUCCAUCAUGGACCGAACCAUAUCCAACAAGAUUUCGUUCCUCUUUUUCGAGAUACCAUUAUGCUGUGGUGUCCCUGAAAGGAUCUAUUAGGAGAGAAUUCUAUUCUCUCCUAGAUAUUUUAGAAAUUUACUAGAGAGGUAUUCACCUCUUCGAUUAGACUGAAGAGUAUUAAUAUUUUUUUCAGUUUAUUUCUCUACUUUAUUACACAACCGUUUGAACGUUUCAAAUGAUUCAAACUUAUGUUUCAUUAAGUAUACGUAUCCAUACCAAAAUAGGUCAUCUAUGAAUGUAACAAAAUAGCUAUACCUUCCUCUGGCAUAUGUGCUCAUGGGUCCACAUACAUUAGUAUGUAUCAAACCCAGCACAUCACUGACUCGUUCAUCUUUUUCAGUAAAAAGUGACUUGAUCAUCUUUUCAAGUAAAUAAAACAUAGGUAGGUAACGAUUAAUAAUCGUCUUUAUCAAGAAUCUCUUUUUGAGCUAAUCUGUUCAUCCUGUUCUUGUUGAUAUGACUUAGCUACAAUACCAAAGGUAGGCAUAUGUGACAUCAUCUAUUCUAGGAUGUUUAUUUGAAAUAUACAUUACAUUAGGUCUAGAUACAACAUAAAAACUAUUGUUCAACCGUCCACAUAAAAUUAUAACACCAUUCAAAAUGAUAUUACUAAUUUUUUUUUAUUGAUAUUUCACAAUUGAAAUUUAUCAAAAGGCCUACAAAAAUAAUAUUUAAAAAAAAUUAAGACAUUAAUGACACUCAUCAAGAAUAAUGUAAUGAGACUCGAAUUCAAGCUUGAUGAUUCUUAAAGUUAGAAUUGGAACUGAUCUUUCAUCUUCAAUAUUCAGGAAUCUCUCGCCUUCUCCAAAUCUCCUAUUAACCUGAAGAUCCUACAACGAAUUGUAAAUAUGAAUAGGGCUAUCGGUAUCCAAUACCCAGGUCAUUGUAUCAAAAAGAGAAAAAUUACAAGAUAUUAUCAUAUGAGUACUUUAUCCAGCAACUGAUUGCUUCUUCUUUUUUGGCCUGUUCGGAUCAAGGGAAACGAUAUACUAAGGAUAAUUUCUCUUUCAGUGACUCUGCUUCUUGUAAAAGAAGCAUUCUACCUAACUUUGAUCAAUCUUGAACUUGAAUUUCUAGGACUGACUCCCUGCACCAGGUAUCUUUUUAUUCUUUUUAUUUUUUUUCUUAAAGAGGCGAUCACUAUCUGAAGAAGAUCCUCCCACUAGAUUUACCAUGUCUUUGUGGAGCUGGUAAUCCUUCUCAAAAGUCUGUAGCAACCCCAACAAAUCAUGUAAUUGACUACAGACUUCGUCAUUCUGAAAUGACUGAGGAACGACAGGUAGGACUUAGGUAGGGAGUUCAGGAUCGCAUCCUUUCCCAGCUGUUCAUGCAAGAAAAAGCUGAGUUUGCUUAGUUUUUCAAUCUGCUAGAUCAUGUAUAAUACAUGAUCGAUAACAAAUGCAUCUUCCCUCAUUCGGAUAUUGAAAAUGGUGCAACUAGUCUUGUAUUGCUCAACAUCAUCAGGAGUACCAAAGGAAUCCUUCAACACUUGAAGCAUUUUCUUUGGUUGAGCCUCUUUAAAUUUCUGACUGAACUCAUCAUUCAUAAAGGCCUGCAUAAUGCAAGAAACUAUAAUGCAAUCAUUGAGCCACUUCAAAUAAAUAUCUUGGACCGCAUCUUGCGCAUUGGGAGCAAGCUCCUCAGGUGCCAGAUCCAUUAUCACAUAAAGAAUCCUCUCGUGCUCCAAAACUAUCUUUAACUUUCGAUAUCAAUUAUCAAAAUUCGAUCUGAUAAGCUUCUCACUGUCUAAUAGUGAUCGAAGCGACAAGCUUCUGCACACACAAAGAAAAUACAAAACCUAAUUAGUAUAUGAAUUUGUUAAUCUUAAAGACUUAGACUUUAGUCUAAAGGUCCUCCUACUAUUUUAUAUGAAUUGGUAGCCUCUACCUCCAAUUCGAAGAAUUACUUUAAUUUCUUAGCGGAUACUAGAAUCCACACAGACUACAUAUAGGUCUGAGGAUGGCUCGAUCAACCAUAUGCAUCUAUGGAUAGGUUCUCAACUAAUUAUUUUUUUAAAUAAUUUUUAGUAUUUAAUUUAGUCUCAAAUUUUAUUUCAGUAGGCGAUGGACCUCCACUGAAAGUUUCGUUAGAUCAAACCAUUAACAUAAACCUACUCAGUGAUUCUAAUCAAUGAGUGAUUAGGUCCGAGGAUGGCUUGAUCAACCCAACCAUCAUCAGAUAGUUCAAUAGAGUCAUCAUAUGAUGAAUGAUAAUUCUAUUAUUCAGAGUAAAUACUAGACGGAUGGCGCCUGUAAUGUUAAUCAUAAAUAAUGGAUCCAUUACCAUUCACUUUAAUGGGAGGCUAUGAUCUAGUUAUCACCAUAACUAGCUCAUUUUAGGAACCUAAUAAUUUAGAAGAUUUAAUCAGUUUAAAGAAGAAAAGAUCAAUCAAUAGAUCAUAAUCCUCCCACUGACUUCACCAAGUCACUGAAUCUGGUUAGGUUAUGCUGAUUGAACUGACACCUCGAUCAAUCACACUGAUCAACUUUAAUGGCAUGGGCUAACUCGAAUCACUUAGCGAUCUAACUAAACUCUACUUCACCAAAUUGGCAAGGUAAGUGAGAUCGGUGGGAGGAUCUACUAAGCUUAUCUUAGACACUAUCGAAAUAGUCAGGUAAGCCGUUCCCAAUUAAAAAUCACCGAUCAAAAUGCCAAACUUAUCUUAGACAUCAAUUAAUUAACUAGUUUUGAUUUAACCAACUUAAUAAUUUGGGUUCAACCACUGAGCCACAAUCAAGGCCUAUUUAAUCUAAUCAAAGAUAUGGACUUGACUGUCUACAACUAUUGUACUAGAGAAAUCUUGAUUAAUCUAAUUCAACAUUUGAUUCGACUUAAUCAAUUUCUCUAUAUAGUCAAUCAAUUCUUUAAUUCUAAUCUUAGGUCUAAUCCAAUUAAAGAGAAGAACCUGAUUUGAGCUAACCCAUGCCCCAUAUUUUAGGUAAUGUCAUUAGAUCUAAAUCACAAUUCUAGAUCUAUUGGGUUUAACACUUAAUUCUUAAUAAAGUUUUGCAUCAACAUAGUUAAGAUUUUGAAAAUAAUUUUUCAUGUAAAUUUUUUAUAUCAAAUCAUAAAAUUUUUUAGAUCAAAUUUAAAUUUUUAUAAUUUUUAAUUAAAAUAAUUUUGAUUAAUCAAAAUUAGAUGUAACUAGAUUCUUCGCAACUUGCAUCAUAUACAACAACACCUAAGAUUUCAAGAUCUAGGUUUUACAAGAAAAUAAGCUUUUUCUUUUCACUUUCUUCUUCAUGAGAUCUCAUAGUGGCACCCCUACACACCAUGAAGAGCAUUCCAUUGAAUGGGAGGAGAGGGUCAUAAAAAUCUUACUUGCUCCUAUGAUCGAACNNNNNNNNNNNNNNNNNNNNCAUAUCAAAAUAAUCUGACGCUGAUAUGAGUUGAAGAAAAUAUGCGGUAGUACAGUACAUGCAAUUUAAAAAUUUUAUACCGUAAAAUAAAAAAUUAAAUGAUUUAAUUCUAAUCAUAUAUAUAAUAUCCUAUAUUAGACUACCACAUCAUGAUCUUUGAUAUGAAAAUAUGAACUUUAGAUCUGAAAAUAAAAAUCACAUCGAUCUCAUCGAUGCAAAAAUUCAAGAUCUAACUAUUAGAUCUACUAUAAGAAUCAAAAUAAGUUAGAGAUCGUUAUCAAAUAAAUUUGAUCUUAAUCUAAAGAUGUUCUUUAGAUCACUCACAGCCAUAUAGAGUUAUCUGACCUCUACAGAAAGAUCCAUACGAAAACAAGCACCGAUUAAGGACUUGGAGGUGCUAGCCUGCAAGCAACUUCGACAGCUGAUUUAUUCCUCCUUUUUCAAGUACCUUGGACACUCCAAAGUAAGAGAAGAUUAAGAGGAGGAAUAGAGGAGGAGAAGAGGCUCUAGAAACAAAAAACACCAAGGGAAUGGUCAUGGGACAUCCAAGAGAGAGGACCUCUUUUUAUAGACUAGGAAUUAAGGUUUUCCAAGGAAGGGCACCAAGAGUCAAUGCCAAAAUCUCCUUUUGGCAUUUCAAAAAAUUCUAAAAAAAUUAUUAAAAUAUGAAAAAGAUUUCUAAAGUCUCAUAUGCUAAAGAAUUUUUUAAAAAAAAUAAGAAAAAAAUUAAUAUGGUGCCAACAAUAUUCUAUAUAUAAAUUUUUUUUUCUAGUUUACCUCUUAUCUCUAAUUCAAAUCGCAUUCGAAUUAGGCAAGAGAUAAUAUUAUGACUCAUCAGCUAUAGCUACCCAUCCUUAUUGGAUUCUCUAUCAUGAUGCCAGAAAGCAAAACCCAAAUUCAAUUAGAUCGGGAGAAAUUGGUAUGGAUCCAGGUAUAGCGCAAAAGAUAAGGAUAGAGUCCUAGUUGACAAGGACUCUUCAUUUUCAAUUCUGAUUCUAAUCCAAAUCAAAUUUGGAUUGAAUCCACUGAUAGAAAUGAACCUAAUCCAGUUAUGAACCUAAGUAUCUUAUCAAUUUUUUAACCCAAUUAGGAAUUAGCCGAGUCAAAACUCUAAUCGAAUCAAGAUCAAAUUUUUCUUAUAAUUGGACUCGAUCAUAUCAAAACCAAUCAAAGUGGAACUGAGUCUAAUUCAAUUAGACUUGUUUCAAAGCUCUUCGCUCAAUCAAAUUGAGUCAAUUAGUAAUCUAAUUACUAAUUAAUUUUCUAAAAAUAGUAGAGUCUCAGUCCCAGUAGGACUCUCUCUGAGAGUCCUAGCCGGAGUAGGACUCUUCAUCAUAGUCACAAUCCAAUUAGACUCUUCAGCUAUCUAAUUUGAUCAAAUCUUUCAAUGCGUGUGACCUCAUAAGUUUGAACUUAAGUCAGUAGCAUAGGAAUAACUUUCUAUACCAAUCAAUAUAACCAUCUAGCAAUGAUGAUCCGACGAUCGGACAGGUUGAAGUAUUGCAAAGCAAUCUUCUAGAACCUACUGGCUUAUGGUUGCCAUAUAAUUUAUUUCUUUGAUUCACUGCUUAAGGUGACCUAAGGUUUAACUGUCAACUCUAAUUUAGUUGACCAUAUUAUAUUUCAAUCUUUCAAAUCUAUCUCAUAGAUUAUCCUGACCAUGAUUUUACUGAAUUGAAAUAUGUUGACGCGUAUCUCCUAUUAAUUCAGAGGGGUCAAUUCCAUCUUGACUCACACAUCGAUUUGAUAAGUACUUGACUGCACGCAGUAGCCUUUCAAUACUGAGUUAGAAACUCAGAUAGUUCAGUACUAAAGUACAGUGAGUUGCUUACAAGUCACCGUGGUGGUCUUAGAUUGGAGGGACACUUAUAUCCAUACCUUUCACGAGCUACUCUUAACAGCGGAGUGCUCGGUACAUGGUCAUGUUUGAUGUAAAUAUACUUCUAUAUUCCAUUUGCAUGCCAUAACAGUGUCUCCAUACACCUUGGUUAAAAGGAUAACUAACUCAUAUGGUACACAAUGACCUACACUUGAUAUCACUAUCAUCCUAGUAAUAGCGUAUCGUUUGAUCACGAAUAUUUUUAAGGACUUAAUGACAAACUCUCUUUUAUCGAUUAAUCAUAGUCUUAAGAACUUCAUUACAACAUAGAAGUUCAAAGAUGGAUAAUUUGUAAUAAAAAUAUCAAAUAAUUUUUAUUAAUAAAAAUUUAUAUAUAAUUUAUAAGAUGAGCACAACCAUCUAACGAUUAGCUUUGGGAUACAUUUUUCAGCAACCACCAGGACGAACUACAUGCGGCGUGGCAUGAUUAACCGUAACACUGGUGGCCCAUGCUGGUCCUCCCUCCAAUAUACAAUGUCUCCUCCAUAAAAAUCUGAGCUGAAAGGUAAAUUCAUUUGGAGUAGGCUAUGGUUCUCUGACUAAGGGGCCACUAUUGUGGAAGGGAGUGGACUUUAUUCCCACAUCGAUUGUUCAGUCAAGCAACCUUGCCUUGUAAGACUUGACAUCCUCCUCUCUCAUUGCAAGACACCUUUUGGGCCAGACCCAAAGGGGCAAAGCCAUGAGGGACCCAUGCCGCACGCCGAUCAUCUCGAUGGUCUCUCAAAGUGGACAAUACCUCAUACUUGAGAAGGAUUCGAAUCCGACCUUAUGAGCCUGGCUCGACCGACCGCAACAAAAAGAAAAGAGCAAGAAGAAGAAUAAGAACUAACGCCACAGUGCUGCUUCUAAUUAAGCUAAGCUCUGAUGUAAUUAUUCCUCCUCUAGCUCUUAUUUAUAGACUAGAGGAGUGGGGUAAGAAGUUGAUGAAAGCCAUUGUGAAUUGUGAGUGUCUGAUUCAGUGGGUGUUGGGUUUCCAUAAGUAGACAAGGUCGAGCACCCGAUUGUUUUCAGGAUAAUUACGUCAAAAUAUUUUAAUUUCUUACUUAAAAAAAUUAUUUUUUUUUGACUACUCAGAGUGAUACUCAUAAAAAUUUUAGAUGGAUAUAAAAAAAAACUUUAAUCUUCAAGCUAAAUAAUCUAUAUAAUUUUUUUCUUAAAAAAAUAUUUUUUUGAUUGAUUAGAGUGAUAUUUAUAAAAACUUUAGAUGGAUAUAAAAAAGACUUCAAUCUUCAAGCUAAAUAAUCUAUAUGGCUCUGAUACCAUCAUAUUAGAACUUUAUAGAACAAUAAACUUACUCAAAAAAAGGUCAUCAAUGCCAUCCUCAAUCUCUCAAAUCAGUCGACCUACAAUCAUAAAAAGAAACUGAGCUGGAUAUACUCCUUGCUGUCUAUUGAACAGCACCUUGGUUUUUAAAUUCCAACUCUGAGUAUUUCGGAUGGAAAGAUCUCACAAGUUCUUGGAUGAGUUGGGGACUAAGUCUGUAGGGGAUAUCCUUUUAUAGUGUACCCCACACAUCAGAGGUUAUAUCUAAAUUGAUAAUCGAUAAAUUAAAAACUAACAUGCAUGGAUCUACCCUUAAAAAUUUAAUUACUCCAUAGAAUAUAUACUAUAUAUACUUGAUAGAAAAUAAUUAUCAGUAUGAAUCAUGGUGUGAUAAAUAUAUUAUUAAUCAAUACACAUCCUUCAAUGCAUCGUAAUACUAAUAACAUCUUAUAAUAUUUUAUUUUAUAAAUACAUGAAACUUUAUUGCUAUUUCUUGGUCUUCUUUAUAUCACAGGGUAAAGAGUCGAUUAGUAUAAAAUAAAAUAAAAUAAACUGAACUGAACUUUAUUAUAAAACUUAAUAUGAUGAUUUUAUACAUAUAUAUUGUCGCAUACAUAAAAUGAGCUAAUGCACCACAUGAUCUCUCAAAAUCUUGAAAAUAAGUUCUUCAAUUAGUAGAUUUAUAAUUAUCAGCUCUUUAUUAAUAUGUUUCACAAACACUAUGUCCUUUUUUCUCUUACGAAAAGUGAAGUAUUUAACACCAGUAUACAAACAAGUGCUUUUACUCUUUAUAUUAUAGGAGAAUCUUAUUGUGAUAUUAUUAUCACAAUAUACCUUUAUCAGUCUGCUGAUAGAAUCGACAAUUGUAAGUUCUAUAAUAAAAUUCAGUAAUCAUAUAGCUUGUGAGAAAAUUUCAUAACAGGCUAUGUACUCCAUUUUUAUAGUGAAUGUAGUAAACUAGAUUUUAUUUUUUUCUCAUUUUGAUGAUAUAGCAUCUUCUACAAGUAGAAAGAUAUAUUUGAUGGUAGAUUUCCUACUUGAAAAAAUUUUUAAGUUUCUCGUAUAUAUUUAAUUAAUCAUGUUAAUUAAAAAAAUUUCAUAUAUCUUUAAUUAAUCAUAUUAAUUAAACAAAAUUGAGAAGAAAGAAUGAGAUCUAAUCUAUUCCAUCAACACGGCGAACAUAAAAGUUAACUAUUCAACCCUUCAUGUAAAAGAGAAAAUAUAUCCUCAAAAUCCCAAUAUACAGAGGAGAAAAAGAAUUGAAGAAUAAAAAAAUAACUUUUUUUUUAUACUUUUGUAUGGAUAGAUGAACUCCGUGACUGUAGAUCGUGGACUAGAUCUUUUUCUUGUAGCCACACAAAUGUCUGAUCUCCAUAAGUAUCCACACAAAGAUAAAGACAAUCAACAACUUCUUGAUUCUCUGAGGUGCAAGCUUCCUUGCAGAAUAUUUGCUUGACGGUAGAGAGUUCUCAACUCUUUGAGAACUGUAACAGGAUAAUAGCUCUCUUGAGAUUUUUUUUGCUGAAAUUCUAAAUUUCGAGAGGCAAGAGAGAAGAGGGAGAGGCCCUUGGGUGUGGAGAGGAAGGAGGAGAGAGAGCUUGGGCAACAGCCUUGAGACUAGAGGAGAGAACCUUUUGGGGCAUUGGGAUGCUUUUUACCCUUGGGUGUGGCUACCCUUUUAUAAGCUCAAAGCCCUAGGGUGCCACCCCACCUUUCAUGGAAAAAAUCUCCUUUCCUAAAGAGGACAGGCGGCUACGGUUAUUGAAGAGAGACUCCCAAUGUUGCCACCCUAUAUAAUUCAGCCAAAAGGUUUCCUACUGUGGCUUGGGUGGCUAGGGUUUCAAAAACCCUAAUGGUGCCACCCUAUACCUUCUAUAAUUUGCUCUUUUGUUGUGGCACCUAGGGUUUCAUGCAUGGAAACCCUUAGGGCAUGGGCUUUUCUUGACUAGUCAAAGUCUAGUCCAAAUAAGACAAGGAUGUUAGAUUUAAUUAUCAUACAAUUGAUGCACCCAAAUCCUUUUAGGUGCAUGUGACCUAAGCUCCAAUUGAUCUAAGUCUUGACUCAAAUUCAAUUGAAUCUGAAUCCCUAUUUGAUUUAACUUGAAUUCAGCCAUAAUUAAUUUAAUCCAAUCAAAUUAAGACUUGCAAUAUUUGUACAUUAGUCUUCCUCGAACUUUGCUAACUAUUAGCAAGUAAGCUUCUGCUACUUGUAAUAAUUACAUGUUAGUCUGAUUAUUAAUUACAUUGAUAAUUUGGAACCUAUAAUGAUUUGUAAUCAUAAUCCAACCAUCUGAUUAGUUUCAAUCUCUUUAUAUGUGUGAUCCCAUAGAUUUUAUUCUAUCUGAUAGUAAGAUAUGUUGAGAUCUCUAUCACGACAAUGUUGAAACUCUUUUCAAUAGAUUGAAAUACUUUCAAUUUUUUUCAAUAAGAAUCAUCUAAUGAUUCUCAUGGUCGCCACAAUCCACUAGUGACAUCUAGUAAUAUAUAAUGGCAAUCUAGCCGAAUGAAAUGGGAUGAACCUCUAAGUACAGUAAGCAUAUAAUACAGUCCUUCUAUCAAAGAUUUCGAUAAGAUGGAGAUAAUGAAUUACUUGUCAAAUCACAUCAUCUAUCAUAUGUAAAAUUUACUCGACUUGAGUUCUUAAUGUGAAGUAUUUGAAAAUUCAUUUCUAUUAUUUACACUACUUUAACCAAAGUCUUCUGAACUCAAUUCUGUAAAUCAUAUAAAAUCAUCUUCCUUAUCUAUCAAAGAUGAUAAAUUUUAUCUCGGUGUGCAUCCUAUUCCUACAAUAAAUUUACUACAGCUAAUAUAUACCACAAAGAUUUAUAUGGCUAGGGAUCAAGUAUAUAUAUAGUCAAACUAUAUUAGUCUUACUGUGAACAGCCAAGGCACCUUAGAUUAAAGAAUGAGUUGCACAACUAUAGCAUCGAGCAAGUCACUGAUGAGUAGGUGGCCAUCCAAGUGACUUUUCAUAAUGGUCAUGCACAGUAUCUUUAUUUUACAACAACCACUAGCACUUUCGCUCUAACAUCCCCACACUGUAGACUUAAGACUUAUCUAUCCUAAAGAAAGUGAUGCAUGCAUCAAUCUUACCAGAUCAAUCAUCAUUUUCGUAAUAAUUCAUUGAUCGAAAGUAAUUUAAAAAUUAAUCACCAAUGAUACAUGCAUCAAAUUUUCAAUACUUGAGAAUAUGUGUCAUCAUCAUAUUAAUCUCUUGGAUGAUUAAUAGAUACAUAACAUAAUAUGAAUAAAAAAAUAAUCUAAUUUUAUUAAUUUUAAUACUUUAAAUAUAAAAUUACGUUCUUAAAAAAUUUAUAUGUGUCAAUCUAAUUGGCUUUUAGAGCAUACAUCUAACAGUACUGUCAGUGUAUCCAUUAAACUCUAAAUCUUAAUAGCUAUUACUUAAUGAUGAUCAGACUGAUUGCAUACGAGCAUGUAAACUUUUACACCUUGUAGGCAAUGCUUAACUUUCUUUAUAACUUUUCAAUACUCCAUUUCUGAAUCAUGUUGAUAAUGUCCAAGCAUUGGUAUAGUAAAGAUAAUGUCUAGACACAUGCAAAUAUGGGCAUAAAUCAAACUCAUAACAGCUGAUGCAUAGGUUAUGAACUUUAUUUUCUCUCUCUUUUUCUUAAUUUUUGGACAUUAGGGUUUAUUAAAUUUAUCACUCUUUACAAUAGAAGCAACCUCAGAAGAAUAUUUUUCUAUCUUAAAUUUAAUACUAUAUAUAAAAAUGUAAAUUAUUUAAGAUAGUCCAAGUAGCCUUUAAGGAUCUAUUUCUGUGAAUCUCAAUGUUGAUAAUAUAAAUGGAUUCAUCUAUAUAUUUCAUCUCAAAAUUUUAGGAUAAAAAUUAUUUAAUUUUCUUAAAAAGAUUGAAAUCAUUACUAAUAAGUAGAAUAUUAUUCAAAUAAUACUAAAAUUAUGAACUUACUGUCACUAACCUUCAAAUAUAGUAUUUUUUAAACUUAAAGAAUGUAAUUACCCCAUCAAAUUUCAGAUAUCACUAUCUGAAAGCUUAUUUAAGUCAAUAAAUAUUUUUUUUAAUCUACAAAUAGUGUGCUCUUGUCCACUGACAAUAAAAUUCUUGGAUUGUUUCAUGUAAACCUCUUCUUCUAUAUCACCACUGAGGAAGGCCAUUCUCAUCCAUCUGAUAUAGCUCCUAGUCAAAAUGAGUUAUUAAAGCAAUGCUAAUCCAAAAAAAGUCCUUUGAUGAAAUAAAAAAUUAAAUAGAUUUCUUUAAAGUUAAUGCCUUCCUUUUGUGUGAACCUUUGUACCAUAAAGCUGAGUUUUACCAUUCAACUUUACCGUUGAAAUUCUGUUUGGUCCUAUAGAUCUAUUUGCAACCAAUUGAUCACACCUUUUAGGUAGGUUAACUAAUUUCUAGAUAUGGUUAUUAUCCAUAGAUCUCAACUCUUCUUUCAUGGCAUCUAACCAUUAUAAGAAGUUCUCAUCUUUCAUGGCUUAUAUCUUUUGAUCAUCAUCCUUUUUAUCCAUAUUAAUCAAAUACACUACAUAAUCUAAAGCUAUAAUAGAUUUUCUUAUUUUAGUAGAUUUUCAGAGAACCAUCUCUUGAUUUACUUGUAGUAGUUGUUAUAUAGUUGCUUUUUUGGCAAUAAAAAUCUCAUGGGAUGGAACUUGAUGAAGUGAUGAUUCCUCCUGAAUGUUAUCUGAAGGAAUAAUAGUAGGACACAUCACUUCAAUCUGCUUUUCAAGCCUAGUAUUUCUUCAAAAAUAAUAUCUCAAGGUUUUUUACUUUCAUUAAACAUAUUGUCUUCUAGAAAUUUAGCUUUAUUAGAUUCUACUAUCUAUGAUGUAUGAGAUAAAAAUUAAAAUCUACAUCAUUUUGAUGUCUUUGGAUAACUAAUAAAAAAAACAAUGAUCAUUCUAAGAUCAAAUACAAUUUUUCUGUAGGUUGUAAACCUUAGCUUUAGCUGGACAUCCCAUAUACGCAUUUCCCAAACUAAAUUUUCUACUGGUCCAUAGCUCAUAAGGAGUUCUUUGAACUACCUUAGUAAGGAUCCUACAUAACAUAUGCAUCGUUAUCUUUACAGUCUUAUCUCACAAGAAAAUAGGUAGGUUAGAAUAACUUAUUAUAAUCCGAACUAUUUAUUUAAGUAUCCCAUUCCUUCUUUCAAUUACAUAAUUCAGAUUUGGUGUGCUUGACAUUGUAUACUAGAAUAUAAUACUCUAUUUCUUUAAAAAUUUUGCUAAUGAUCAUGGCUUUUUUUCAUAUAUCUUCAUAUAUUUACUAUAGUAUUCACCAUCUCUAUCGGAUCUGAAUAUUUUAAUCACUUUUUCUGAUUAUCUCUCUGUCUUUAUUUUAAUUUUCUUAAAAACUUCAAAAAUAUCAACCUUAUAUAUACCAUGAAUAGUCAUUAAUAAAUAUAAUGAAUUAAUUUUUACCUAUUAGAUAUGAAAAAAAAAUAUGCAUACAUCAGUAUGAAUGAUUUUCAAAGUUCUUUCACUCCUUCUGGCACCCUUCUUAAACGUGUAUGUCUACUUUACCUUUAUAUAGCAUGCACAAGCAUAAAAUCAGUUAAUUUAAUGAUCCUAAGAUCCUAUUCUUCACUAGCUACUAUUUUAUAACAUGUCUCACCUAUUAGAGGUAGUGUCUGCAUUAUAAUAACUGAGAUGGACAUUAUCCAUAAUAGUCAUUUAGAUAUUAACUUUAUCACAAUAACUAUCUAAUAUAUCUUUACAACUUUAUCGAAGACUUAUUUUUAGUCAGAGUUCAGAUCAAAUUAAAUCAAUCAAAAUAAAUUCCUAUGUGUGUUAGUAUGGGCCACAUGUAGAUCGGGCUUAAUUGGAUGAAUCUAGCAAAUGCUUCUAAGCUCUGACUCUAUUAUUCGUCCACUAACUAUUAUUAAUUUAUAAAAUAGGGGGAGCGGGAUAAAAAGCUAAUAAAAGCCAUCAUGGCCGGCUAUAAUUGAAAACUUAUGGAAAGCAUAUGAAUAUAUAUAUUAACUAAGAAACCAACAACAAAGACAAAGUUGUCAUAGUGUCCGAUCCAACACCCAAGGGGUGUUAGGUUUCCAUAAGCAAACAAGGUGGAGCUCUCGAGUGUUUUCUAGGUAAUUAAGCUAGAAAGUUUUAAUUUUCUCCUAAAAAAAUUUUUUUCUUUCUUUUUGCUGGUCAGAUCUAUAUCUAUAAAAAUUUUGUAUGAAUAUCAAAAAGAUUAUAAUCUUCAAGACAAACAAUCUAUAUGGCUUUGAUACCAUAAUAUUAAAACUCUAUGCGGUAAUCAAACUAACUUGAAGAAGAAACCAACGAUGCCAUCCUCAAUCUCUUGAAUCAACCUAUUUAUAACCAUAAAAAUAAAUCGAGCUGGAUAUGCUCCUCGUCAUCCAUGAGCAGCAGCUUGUUUUUUCAAUUCCAACUUUGACUAUUCCUCAUAGAAAAGACCUUAUGAGCUUUUGGAUGAGUUGGAGACCAAGUUUGUUGGUGGUGUUCUUUUAUGACAUGCCUCAUCCAUUAGAGGUAAUGUCUGAAUCAAUUAGUAAUGACUGAGAUAGACAUUAUCUAUAAUAAUUAUAUAAAGGUUAACUUUAUCAUAAUAACAUCAAGCAUAUCCUUAUCUCUUUAUCAGAGACUUAUCUUUCAUCAGUUGCUACUAAUUUUUUUGAUGCCUUACAUAUUAACAGGGCUAUAGCUAACGAUUAAACCUAAUUGUGAGAUUGGAGUAAAUGAAACCUACUUCUAUAAGCGAAAUGAUCAAGUAGUUGAAGAGAUGCUAUUGAAGAACUUCGAGAUUUCUUGUUUCAUGAAGCAUGCUUCAUUGAGUUCAUUCAUAAGGUUUAUGAAUCUACUCAUUCUCUGUCUAGCUAUUAUUCACUUAAACAAUGCAAAAUUUUACUAUCUAUCUCGAGCAGACUGGAUUCAAAUGCAUCAACUCAGCUAUGGCAAUUUUGUAGUCUAUGGCAUCCCUCCUCUUUUAAGGAGCAUUGUUAUUUCAACCGGAUUACCAUCGGAUGGAAGUUGUCAACCUUUUUUGUCAGUGGCCAUUGGCCUUCAUUACUUAUAUCCUGUCUUUGCUUACUUAUGUGAUGUAUACUGUUUGUACUUAUCUUCUAUGCUUCUGUUUCCUACUACCUUAUUUUCCUAUGUUGUAAUCACACUGACAUGUCACUUAUAAAGCAUUUGCUCCUCUUAUUUACCCAAAAAAAAAAACCCAGCCUCCAUUAGCUAAAGACCUAGAAAGGAGGAUCCAAUGGCCUCCAUUCUCAUCGUCUGUGCCCAAGGCCCAGUGCGCUAAGUGGUGAGCCUGCCAAAUGGUUGCAACGUAAGCAGCCACUGGGCCAGAGCCCAGUUGGUAUUGCUACUUGCUUGCGUUUCAUCUCUAUGCGGUACUUUGCUAAUUAAGCACGAACCAUUUCGGCUUCACAGUGAAGGGACCCCCAAGUUCUAUAUGUAUGUCUCUUCUUAAUGCAAAACUGUUGACAGCCUUACCUACCCUAUCUUUCCAUCUGUGGCAUUUUCCUGUUUAUGUAAUAGUCGUGAAUGAUUUUUUCUUAUUUAAAGGAUAAGCAAAAAUAGGUUAUUACCUUCCUUUAAAGAGAAUGAAAACUCUUGUAUAAAAUGGAGAGGACCCCGAAGGCUGUAAUAUGAAGAAAAAUAAAAAGAGAAUUCCUCCUUUCUCAAGAAUUCCUCCUCUCCCAUCUCUAGUUUUCAACAUGGUACCAGAGCUCUCGGGAUCUGACACAUGACUUUUUUUCUCCUCUUUUGAAUCUUUUUCUGAUCCAUGAUUUUUUUCCAAUUUUUUUUUCUCCCUUUGCUAUUGUCCUCAAAGUUUUUUUGAAACCGCAGCCUGCAAUCCAUCUCCUCUUCUUCUUCUUCUUCUUCUUCUUCUCAUCACCGAUCGGCACCACCAUGGCAUCACCCUCCUUCCUUCAUCACCGCCGCCUCCGUGCAUGCCACCACAGAUCGCUGUCCUCACCGUCCAAAUCCCAUCACCACUGCAGAUCACUGUCCUCGCCGUCAAAACCCCAUCGCCGCCCGCCCCUCUUCCCCUCUAUGCCUCCAUGCACGCCGCCUCCAUGCACGCCGCUGCCUCCUUCAUCGACACGUCCAAACCCCAUUGCUGCUUCCUUCAUUGCCACCGCCUCUAUGCACGCCGCCGCCACCUCCUCUUCCUUCACUGCUCGCCCCUCUUCUCCUCUGCUCGGCAGAUCAGCCCAUCAUCACCGCAACAUGCCGCCACAAAUCGCCGUCCACUGUCCAUCGCUGUCCUCGCCGUCCAAACCCCAUCACCGCUUGUGGCUCGCCCUUCUUCCCCUCUGCUCCUUCAUCGCCUUCGCCUCUGUGCACGUCGCCACCUCCUUCAUCAACACGUCCACACCCCAUCACCACCGCAAACCACCACCACCACCUCGAGCGCCUCCACACAUGCCCUCCGCGCACACGCCCACAACCCAUCAAAUGCCGCCCAUCGUCCCGUGCCCCCCUCGUCUCGCUAUGAAACAAAGAAAGGUUAGCUCUUCCCUCUUUAGUUAUUUGUUUUUUUCUUUCUCCAAAAAAAAGAGAUGAAAAUCAUUCAGUAGUUUUCAUCCAGUAGUUCUUUUUUAGCAUACUUGGAAGUGUCGGGCGGUGUUAUUGAAGAAGAGUUUGAGAAGCCAAUCGAUGAGGUGGUCCGCACCUCUGACUCUUGGUCUGUAAUAGACAAUCCUUCUCUCUUGAUUAGCUCUGUUCGACUUGACAGACCUCUCACCUAUCCUAUGUAGUCUCGAAAUGUGCGGCUAUAUAUCCAAACUCGCAGAUUUGAAGGAUUUCUCACUGAAACUGCUGUUAAGCCACAAUCCAAAGAUACAAAAAUUUUAAAAUGGGAAUCAUAGAAUUCUCUUGUAAUGGCUUGGCUUUUCAACUCUAUGGUGCCUUUUAUUGCUCAAGAUAUGUCAUUUUUUAAAACCGUCCAAAAAAUUUGGGAGGGUACUAUCCAAACUUAUUCACAACAGGAUAAUACUGCUCAAGCUUUUGAGCUCUAAUGUAAGGUGCGUGUUCUUUGACAAGGAGAUCUCUCUAUCACUACUUAUAUGACAGAACUCCAGUGUAUAUGGUCCGAGCUAGAUUUUUAUCGCCUCUUCAAAGCUUAUUGCUCUGAAGAUGCUAUUAUGUUCAAGAAAUUCACUGAUGAAGAGCGAAUCUUUGAUUUUCUUGCUAGACUCAAUGACGAAUUUGACUCAAUCAAGGUUCAGAUUUUGGGUCAGAGUAUAGAUCUGCCUCCCCUUGAGCAAGUCUUCUCUCUGAUUCUGAGUGAAGAGACUCACCAUCGUUUGAUGGUUGUUUCAGAUACUAUCCACUCUGCCAUGGUUGUCCAACCCCAAUCACAAUCUCAACAAUCUCGUGGACAUGGAGAUAUGCGAAUAUGCUCCUAUUGCAAUAAAAUGGGACAUGUUCGUGAUACCUAUUGGCAGCUAUAUAGCCAUCCCUCUGGUUAUGAUAGAGGUGGUCGUCGAGGAAGAGGACGUUCUGGUGCAACUAUUAAUCAUCAUCAGGCCAAUCUUUCUGAGUACAUAGAGAAAGGUGUUUCAUCUACGAAGGCAUCAACUCCUCCACCUUCACCCAUUAAUGCUGGAAGUUCAUUAUCUACUGAUGAGAUACUCCGUCGAAUUAUGAACUGACUUAAUGUUCCUUCUGGCAGUGCUCCUUCCAACAACAGUUUGCCUAGUAAAUCCUCCAAUUCUCCUUCAAUUUUCUUCUCUCAUUUUGCACAAUCCAAUCUCUCUCAUAUUAAAUCCAGUGCAUUAACUCCUGAUACUUUUAUCUCUUCCAUUAAUACUGAUAAGAUGUGGGUCAUAGACUCUGGUGCCACUAUGCAUAUGACUGAUAAUUCUGAUAAAUUUACGUCUUACUCAUUCUAUUCUGAUAAAGUUUGUAUAGCUGAUGGUUUUUUUCGACCUGUGUAUGGAAACGAAUCCAUCACCUGUACACCAACCAUAAAACUAUCUUCUGCUUUGCAUGUCUCUAAUUUUUUCACUAAUCUAUUAUCUAUUCAUUCUAUUACAAAUGAUCUGAAUAACAAAGUUACAUUCUUCUCUACUUAUUAUGUUUUUCAGAAGUUGACAAUAGGAGAGAUGAUUGGGUAUGGUAAAAUACACAAUGGACUCUACUACCUGAAUGACGGGAAGCUACAAAACUAUCAAAAAGCUGGUAUAGUUGUUUCAUCAUCUACUGAUGCCAUGAAUAAACUUCACUUACAGCACCAUAGAUUUGGAUAUAUCUCUUUUUCUGUGUUAUCAAAACUAUUUUCUAGUUUAUAUAAUUUUUUUGCUAAAGAAUAGUUAGUUUGUGAUGCGUGUGAAUAUGCUAAGCACACUCAAAAUACUUAUCCGACUUCAGAAACUCAUAGUACUAAACCAUUUGAUAUUGUUCACUCGGAUAUGUGGGAACCUUAUAGUACUAUCUCUACUUCUGGACAUUAUUAUUUUGUGACUUUUAUUGACUGCUACAGUAAAAUGACUUGGGUAUAUCUUCUAAAGGCUAAAGAUAAGGUUAUAUGCUAUUUCAAAGAAUUUCAUAAAUUAGUUGAUAUCCAAUUUAGUACCAAAAUUAAAGGAUUGAGAUCUGAUAAUGGUACAAAAUAUAUGCAUAAGAAAUUUCAUGAGUAUCUAACUACUCAUGGAAUUAUCCAUCAAACUACUUGUGUUGACACACCAAUCCAGAAUGGUGUUGCUGAAUGAAAGAAUCGACAUCUUUUGAAAGUUUCUAGAUCCUUGUUAUUUGCUAUGCGGUUCCAAAAAUCUUAUGGGGCGAGACAGUUGUCACUGCGGCUUAUCUGAUUAACCAGAUGCCUCUUCGAACUCUAGAGUAUAAGGCACCACUUGAAUACCUACAAGGAGAGUCUUCUUUUAUUGUACCUCCUCAGAUACUCGGGUGUGUAUGCUUUAUCCGAGAUCAUCAUCUUACACUCGGCAAGCUUGAUCCAAAAGCUCUGAAAUGUAUCUUUGUACUCAAAAGGGUUAUAAAUGAUAUUAUCCUCCUGAAAGGUGGGUGUUUGUCAGCAUGGACAUCACUUUUCGAGAGACUGAAGCCUUCUUUGAUAGUGUUUCAAUAAUUCAGCUAGCUGCUUAACUAUCUUUAGCCCAACAAUUUAUUUGCUCUUCCAGUAUCCUUUCUAGAGCUACUGGUCGAGAGGGGGAGAUUAUAGUAAUUGAGGAGACUGAGCAGGAGUAGGAACAAACUAAUGAACAGCUGGAUAGUGACUCUAAUUGACAGGGAGAGUCUUCGACUAAGCCCAUUGUGCAUUCUAUUGCUACCCAACAAUCUUCCUCUGACUCAGUUCCAGCAUCCUCAUUUGAUAAUGAUGAUAUUCCUCCUCCUGACCCUACCUUGAAUUUACUUAUUACUCAUAGAAAAGCUUCUCGUUCUCAUAUUAUUCUUUCUCAAUAUUAUUAUGAUAUUGCUAAUUUUAUUUUCUAUGAGUUUAUAUCACCAACAUAUAGGUCGUUUAUUGCAUCAUUAGAAACUAUCUCUAUACCAACACACUGGAAGGAUGCUAUGAUAAAUCCUAAGUAGAGGAAAGCAAUGCUUGAAGAAAUACGAUCCUUGAAAAAAAUCAGACUUAGAAAUUGAUCCCCUUACCUGCUAGAAAACAAUCAGUAGGUUGCAAAUGGGUUUAUACUGUGAAACAAAUUCUUGAGGAUAAAGUUGAUCGGUACAAAGCUCGUUUAGUUGCGAGAGGGUAUACAUAGACAUACGGCAUUGAUUAUGAGAAGACUUUCACCCCUAUAGUCAAGAUCAACAUAGUUCGGACCCUCAUUUCUUGUGCGGCAAAUCUCAGUUAGAGUUUAUUCCAAGUAGAUGUGAAAAAUACCUUUUUACAUGGUGAUCUUCAAGAAAAUGUGUAUAUGAAGAUUCCUCCUGGAUUUAUUAGUACAGAAACUACUGGCAAGGUUUGCCGACUGCGUCGGUCAUUCUAUGGACUAAAGCAAUCACCCAGAGUAUGGUUUGAUUGCUUCCGUCAUGCCAUAUUUGAAAUUGGUUACCACCAGAGUAAUGUAUAUCAUACUAUGUUCUUCUGUCAUAAUAAAGGGAAGGUUGUUAUCCUAAUUAUUUAUGUUGAUGAUAUUACUCUUACUAGUGAUGAUCUCUCAGAAUUGGUCCGUUUGAAGACUCAAUUGGCAUAAUCUUUUGAAGUCAAAGAUCUGGAUAACUUGUGGUACUUUCUUGAGAUUGAAGUAACCAGAUUUUCUCGUGGCAUCUUUUUUUCUCAACGAAAAUACAUCCUAGAUUUAUUGACUGAGACAAAAAUAUUGGGAUGUCGACCUGCUGUCACACCUAUCAAAUAGAAUCAUCAUUUUACUACUAAUAGUGGUGAGCCAGUUGAUCGUGAGCGAUAUCAACAUCUUAUUGGCAGACUGAUCUAUCUAUCUCACACAAGACCUGACAUAGCCUUUGCAGUCAGUGUUGUGAGUCAGUACAUAUAUGAUUCCCAUAAACACCGUCAGGAAGCUGUAUAUAGAAUUCUUCGAUAUCUUAAAAGUUGCCCAGGACGUGGUCUUCUUUUCUCUCAUCAUAAACAUCUCAAAGUUAAAGUCUAUUCUGAUGCUGAUUGGGCAGGCUCUAUAAAUGAUGGUCAAUCAACCUCAGGCUAUUGUACUUUUAUUGGUGGUAAUCUUGUAACUUGGUGCAGUAAAAAAUAAGAUGUUGUUGCUUGAUCUAGUGCGGAGGCUGAGUACCGAACUAUGACUCAAGACAUUUAUGAGGUUUUACGUUUGAAACAAUUGCUUAUUGAGUUACGUCUUUUUCAAUCCUCUUCCCUAUUUUUAUACUAUCAUAAUAAGGUGGCCACUAACAUUACCAACGAUCCUAUUCAAUAUGACAGAACUAAGCAUAUAGAAAUUGAUCGUCAUUUCAUCAAAGAAAAGCUGGAUCAUAAAGUUAUCUGUUUAUUAUUUAUUAAAUCUUCAGAAUAAUUGGCAGACAUUCUAACGAAGAGUCUCAGUGGUUAUAUGUUUUCUUCGAUUUGCAGCAAGAUGAGACUUCAUGAUAUCUUCGCCUCAUUUUGAGGUAGAGUAUUGACAGUCUUGCCUACCCUGUCUUUCCAUGCAUGGCAUUUUUCUGUUUAGGUAAUAGUCGUGAAUGAUUUUACUUUGUUUAAGGGAUAACCAAAAAUAAAUUAUCACCUUCCUUUAAAGAGAAUGAAAACUCUUAUAUAAGAUGGGGAGGACCCCUAAGGCUAUAAUAUGGAGAAAAAUAAAAAGAGAAUUCCUCCUUUCUCAAGAAUUCCUCCUCCUCUCCCAUCUCUAGUUUUCAACAAAAACCUACCAACUUUGUCUCGAUAGAUGAAGUAUUAAGGGUUUUUUAAUUGCAAUCACAAUAUCUGAAACACACUCUAUGCUCCUUUUUUGGAUAUAGAAUAGGCUUUGGGAUGGCAUCACGUCAUUAUCACAUCAUGUCAGGUUAAUUAACUCGCACAAAUCAUCAAAUUUGAUAUGAAGUUUAAAUUUUGAAGCGUCUCUUUAAGCAGCCUCUCCUAUGAUUCCCUCCUACUAUGGUUUAGGCAUACAACAAUGGGAUAAUUGGUUAAAUUUCAUGGUCAUUAACCAUAGAAAUAGUCCAACAUAUAUACAAUCGUAUAAACUUGGGGGCAUUCCAUGUGGCUGUUGCACUUGUUGAUUUUGUGUGAAAUAUAUUUGGAAACCCAGGUUAUAUAUGCAUCGAUCCAUAACUUCUCAUGGCAGAUCUGAUGGUCAUCAGUGGACUGAAACCUAACACAAAGCUUCUUAAUUAAUGACAGUUUUCUCAAUUUUUCACAAUGCAUAUCCAACCGUGGCAAUUAUUUGCUAAACUGUCAAGAUAUAUAUAUGGCCAUCCCUAGUGCAAGUUUGCAUUAGUUUGGCAAUNNNNNNNNNNNNNNNNNNNNNNNNNNNNNNNNNNNNNNNNNNNNNNNNNNNNNNNNNNNNNNNNNNNNNNNNNNNNNNNNNNNNNNNNNNNNNNNNNNNNNNNNNNNNNNNNNNNNNNNNNNNNNNNNNNNNNNNNNNNNNNNNNNNNNNNNNNNNNNNNNNNNNNNNNNNNNNNNNNNNNNNNNNNNNNNNNNNNNNNNNNNNNNNNNNNNNNNNNNNNNNNNNNNNNNNNNNNNNNNNNNNNNNNNNNNNNNNNNGCAUAUGUGGACAUUAUACUGUUAUAAUUCUUCAGUAAGAAUUUCUGUAGUACAGUAGUCAAAUCCAAACCCAUGUUAUCUAUUUCUGCAGGCAACAUCAUCCCGGAUAGCAACUAACCGGACUCGCAUGUUGCAAUUAUGGUCCCGGCCAACAAUGGCUACGUGCCUUAUUGAAUAGUACACCAACUUGAUUUCUAAUUAUUCCUUCACCAACUGCUUGAAGUUAAUAGGGGUGACAAACGGCGGUGAUCCACUGUAGAUGUCUAGGACAGCCUCCUCGUAUGUCCUCUGGGUAGCGUGUAUAGCGUCCCAAAAAAGGUAUUCAUUGCGGUUCUCACAGUAAGUAGCGGUCGGAGUGCAAUCGGCCGAACUUUUACCUCCACAGCAUGCACUUUGGACAUCUUUAAACCCUGGCGACGCGUCAUUAAAACUUUUUAGUUACUUGAUCACUCUAAAUUUUUUUAUCCAAGAUGCAGGAACGUUAAUUAAUAUUAGUUACAUGACACGCUGACCAAGAAUAGUUAUUGAGCUUACC
rnacentral:lncRNA from 1 species